AAAAAUUUAGUUAAAUUUAUAACAUUAGUUUGUCAAACUAAAAUAAUUUCGAUAGAAAUAAUUUUUA
rnacentral:tRNA from 1 species